AGUGUUUCAGAUGGAGGGUGAAAAGAGGUGCUACGACAUAACCAGUAUGAGAAAAAUAAAGCUUUUUUUGAACAUUAAAGCAUCUAAACAUGUUCUAGUAGAAACCCAUAAUACAAGUAUAGCACCUGAAAAAUGAGCAUAGGUCCUCUUUAAAUAAUGUUCUUAUCCUUGAAGGACUAUGUGUGAUUUGCUUCACGUGCGACAGCAUCAAGAAUCGAAGUGUUAACCUCAUCCACGCAGAGCGGGCAAAUUAAAUCGGGGCACGUCUAGCGUGGCUGCUGCAGCAGCAACUCCUCAUCAUCGAUCCGUCUGGCAGGCUGUUUGCCAAUGACACGCACAGCGCUUUCACAGAAGUCAUAAACAAACAAGUAUUCACCACCCUACAUAGCAGAACAGCUUGUUGGUGUAAUUGCUCAAGUACAACCACCAGGUGGCCUCGAACAGCCAGAGCUCUCACCUGUGGUGCAGGUCACUCUAACUUGACUAAGAGGCCUGCUGGGUUCUCCCAAAGCCUCAUCUUCACUUCCUACCAGCCUGGACUCUACUGUUGAAACGACAGUUUAUCACCUCACUCCCAGCUGUACGUAAGCCCACAUUUACGCUUUCAUACACAGACAACUCCCUUGAAGUAGGAUUCCCCGCUGAGUAACAAAGACAGAAGGAAGUCCUUCAGAAGGUUUGAGAGAAACAGUGGAGGCAGAGUUCAAGAAAACAGGAAGCUAAGGAGAGUGCAAAGUUGCUCUGCACCAAAACAUUAAAAAAACACCUACAGCCCCAACAGG